rnacentral:rRNA from 1 species
CAGCAGCCACGGGAAUACAGAGGGUGCGAGCGUUAAUCGGAUUUACUGGGCGUAAAGCGUGCGUAGGCGGCUAAUUGAGUCGGAUGUGAAAUCCCCGAGCUUAACUUGGGAAUUGCAUUCGAUACUGGUUAGCUAGAGUGUGGGAGAGGAUGGUAGAAUUCCAGGUGUAGCGGUGAAAUGCGUAGAGAUCUGGAGGAAUACCGAUGGCGAAGGCAGCCAUCUGGCCUAACACUGACGCUGAGGUACGAAAGCAUGGGGAGCAAACAGGAUUAGAUACCCCAGUAGUCCCUGUCUCUUAUCC